CCUACGGGAGGCAGCAGUAGGGAAUAUUGCUCAAUGGGGGAAACCCUGAAGCAGCAACGCCGCGUGGAGGAUGAAGGUUUUCGGAUUGUAAACUCCUUUUGUUAGAGAAGAUAAUGACGGUAUCUAACGAAUAAGCACCGGCUAACUCCGUGCCAGCAGCCGCGGUAAUACGGAGGGUGCAAGCGUUACUCGGAAUCACUGGGCGUAAAGAGCGCGUAGGCGGGAUAGCAAGUCAGAUGUGAAAUCCUAGGGCUUAACCAUAGAACUGCAUUUGAAACUGUUAUUCUAGAGUAUGGGAGAGGUAGGUGGAAUGCUUGGUGUAGCGGUAAAAUCCGUAGAGAUCAAGAGGAAUACUCAUUGCGAAGGCGACCUGCUAGAACAUAACUGACGCUGAUGCGCGAAAGCGUGGGGAGCAAACAGGAUUAGAUACCCCUGUAGUC
rnacentral:rRNA from 1 species